AGUGAACGCUGGCGGUAGGCCUAACACAUGCAAGUCGAACGGCAGCACAGUAAGAGCUUGCUCUUACGGGUGGCGAGUGGCGGACGGGUGAGGAAUACAUCUGAAUCUACUUUUUCGUGGGGGAUAACGUAGGGAAACUUACGCUAAUACCGCAUACGACCUACGGGUGAAAGCAGGGGAUCUUCGGACCUUGCGCGAUUGAAUGAGCCGAUGUCGGAUUAGCUAGUUGGCGGGGUAAAGGCCCACCAAGGCGACGAUCCGUAGCUGGUCUGAGAGGAUGAUCAGCCACACUGGAACUGAGACACGGUCCAGACUCCUACGGGAGGCAGCAGUGGGGAAUAUUGGGCAAUGGACGCAAGCCUGAUCCAGCCAUACCGCGUGGGUGAAGAAGGCCUUCGGGUUGUAAAGCCCUUUUGUUGGGAAAGAAAAGCAGCAGGUUAAUACCCCGCUGUUCUGACGGUACCCAAAGAAUAAGCACCGGCUAACUUCGUG
rnacentral:rRNA from 1 species